GCCACUGUGAAGAAGAUCAAUGCUGCCAUUUCUAAUAAAGAGAAAAAGAAGACCAACUUCUUUGUAGAGGACAAAUACUGGAGGUUUGAUGACAAGAAACAAUCCAUAGAGCCAGAUUUCCCAGGAAGAUAGCUGAGGAAUUUCCAGGUGUUGACUCAAGGGUGGGUGCUGUCUUUGAAGCAUUUGGGUUUCUCUACUUCUUCAGUGGAUCUUCACAGUUGGAAUUUGACCCAAAUGCCAAAAAAAGCGACCCACAUAUUGAAGAGCAAUAGCUGGUUUAAUU
rnacentral:lncRNA from 1 species